rnacentral:lncRNA from 1 species
CAUGUAAAUGGACAGAACAAAACCAAGGAAACAAUACUGAAAUCUGAGGUACUGAUACACUUUGACCUGUCAUUGCCCAUCCAACUAGCUUGUGAUACUAGUCCAUAUGGUGCAGGAGCAGCUGUGUCCCAUAUCAUGUCUUCCGGUGAAGAGAAGCUGAUCAUUUUCACAUUGAGGACAUUGAACAAAGCAGAAAGUAACUACGCACAGAUAGAACGAGAAGCCCUAAGCAUAACUUUUGGAGUGCGUAAUUUUCACCAGUAUUGGUACGGGAGGACGAUCACCCUUCUUACUGAUCAUCGUCCGCUGACGAGCAACUUUGUUUCUGUAGCUAGCUUGGCUGGCUAGCCACUUUGAUGAGCCAAGGAGGAAGACCGAUGAGAACAACAGGCCAGUGGAAGACUUGGAACAGCAGCAGCCAUUGGCAAAUGCUAGGGAAGAGGAUGAUUUAGGUGACCCAGUCACCAAAACUAGUUAAGCUACCCCAGUAUCCCCUUGACCGUUUUGGAUCACAAAACUAAAGAGACACACCAGAUAAGACACAGAGACAGCAACAGAAGAGUAGGUGAUGGAGAGACACCAGACAAGACACGGAGAAAGUGACAGAAGAGGGCAGAUGGAAAGAGAACAGAGGUGGAUUGAGCACAUAGUAGACUAUAUCACUUCAAGCAGCUCUAUAGAUUCUAAUUAGUUUUAUUUCUUUGCAAACAUUGUAACAGGUGAAAUACAAACAGUUAAAAAGUAAACAUGGUUUACUAAGAAUUUGCAUGUGAAAAACCCUGUGAAUGUCACGUCCUGACCAGUAUAAGGGGUUAUUUGUUAUUGUAGUUUGGUCAGGGCGUGGCAGGGGAGUGUUUGUUUUGUGUUGUCGGGGUUUUUGAGUAUUGUUCUAUGUUUUUGUAUUUCUAUGUUUUUUCUAUGUUGUGUAUUUCUUUGUGUUGGCCUGGUAUGGCUCUCAAUCAGGGACAGCUGUAUUUCGUUGUUGCUGAUUGGGAGCCAUACUUAGGUAGCCCUUUUUCCACCUGUCUUUUGGUGGGAAGUUGUUUUUGCACUGCUGUGGUUUGCCUGCAAAACUGUCUAGCUG